rnacentral:misc_RNA from 1 species
GAUGAAGAACGUAGCGAAAUGCGAUAAGUAAUGUGAAUUGCAGAAUUCAGUGAAUCAUCGAAUCUUUGAACGCACCUUGCGCUCCUUGGUAUUCCGAGGAGCAUGCCUGUUUGAGUGUCAUUAAAUUCUCAACCUCACCAGUUUUCUGAACUGUUCUCCGAGGCUUGGAUGUGGGGGUUUGUGCAGGCUGCCUCAGCGCGGUCUGCUCCCCUGAAAUGCAUUAGCGAGUUCGAUACUGAGCUCCGUCUAUUGGUGUGAUAAUUAUCUACGCCGUGGAUCGGGGCUUAGACUCGCUUCUAACCGUCCGCAAGGACAAUACCUUGACAAUUUGACCUCAAAUCAGGUAGGACUACCCGCUGAACUUAAGCAUAUCAAGCGGAGGA